rnacentral:rRNA from 1 species
GACGAACGCUGGCGGCGUGCUUAACACAUGCAAGUCGAGCGGUAAGGCCCUUUCGGGGGUACACGAGCGGCGAACGGGUGAGUAACACGUGGGUGACCUGCCCUCAGCUCUGGGAUAAGCCCGGGAAACUGGGUCUAAUACCGGAUAUGACUCCAUGACGCAUGUUGUGGGGUGGAAAGCCUUGUGCGGCUGGAGAUGGGCCCGCGGCCUAUCAGCUUGUUGGUGGGGUGAUGGCCACCAAGGCGACGACGGGUAGCCGGCCUGAGAGGGCGACCGGCCACACUGGGACUGAGACACGGCCCAGACUCCUACGGGAGGCAGCAGUGGGGAAUCUUGCGCAAUGGCGAAAGCCUGACGCAGCGACGCCGCGUGAGGGAUGACGGCCU